UUCAAUUUGGCACAUUUGUUUUUUAUACUUAUCUCAAAAUAGCAUUAGAUAGCAAUAUUAUCACAAAACAUCCCUUUCCUUUGGACACAUUAAAGAAUCAAUCAGACAAUCAUCAAUAACAGUUGUAAGUUGGCAUGAAACAUACAAGCCUUGUUUUUUUUUCAAUAACUUAAUAAUAAAUGCCCAUCUGGUUUAGGACAGCACAAAGAAACAGAAUUAUGACAAAUUUUUCAUUUCUUUUUUAAGAUGGAAUAUCAUUUAUAUACCGCAUCCUCGAACAAUAUCAUAUGAAAAGGUAAAACAUAUCAUGGAAUUCAGUUUGUGGUGCCUUUUGGAGCUCCAAUUGCACCAACUGAUCGUGAUUGUAUUUCUUACGUUAAAAAAGAUCACUCCCCCAAGGUCUCUCCUUCGUUCUCCCUCCCUUUCCUUCUCUCUGUCCCUCCUUUUCUAUUCUCUUCCCAAACAUUCAAAAGGGACGCAAUUGUUUCAGGGCAAAAAAUAAACACAAAGGGAGAGAGAUUGAGCUGGAGAGCAAGAGAGAGAGCCAGGAAAGGAACUGCCCACUCUCUCUCUGUCUUGUUUUAGAAUUACUUGGCACGCCCGUCUCAGUGGCCUCGUCGUCGUAGUGUUUCUGUCCAUGUUGUCAAAUCAAACCACAGUCAGGAGGGGAAGCUGCACUGCUCCUAUAAAUAUGGGACCCGUUCUGUAUAGUUUCCCGCCUUUUUUAUUUGAAGGGAUAAAAGGUCAGGAGAGCUGGUGAGCAAUAGGAGGGUUCCACAUGAUGUCACACACAUUCCAAGCUGCCAUCUUGGUGCUUUUCACCAUUAUAUUAUGAAUAAUAACGACUGGUUGCUUGGUUAUUCUACAAUUGCUGCUCAUGAAGUCCCAAGAUGGCAGGCUUGUAUUUAUUUUGUGAAACUUCAGAUCACAUGAUUGAAAUCCUCCUGUAGGGGUUGUUGCAUGCCUCUUGAAGUACACCAUGUGCAUGUAUCAGUCUGCCUCCGCGCACGCACGCACACACACACACACACACACACACACACACACACACACACACACACACACACACACACACACACACACACACACACACACACACACACACACACACACACACACACACAUAUAAAUGCAGUGGGAAACAAAAUGGCACAAUACAUACUAAUUGACACGGGAUUGAAAUUUAAGCUUUACGUUGCACUUGCACUGGCAUGUCAAUGAUUAUGAUCCCUUUGGAAAAUGAUCUGAUGAACUUACAAAUAUAAACUAUAUAUAUAUAAUAUAUAUAUAUUUUUUCAUAUAUAUAUAUGUGUGUCAAACCACAUUUCAUAUGCAGAAUUUGUAAAGAAAUCGGACACAGACAUCGGAAAGAUUCAAUAAAUAAGAACGGCAACAAGACGGGUUAUUCGGUUAGACCCUCCUCUUUCACCAUUCCAUCUCUCUAAAGACUUGCACGCCACAAUCUGUCGCACAACUGUAAGACUCCAGUGUUUAAAACAAAUUAUAUAGGUAGAUCUCAAUAAGUAAAAAAAAAUACACCAAUAUUUAAGAAAGAAAUAUACGCAAUAGUGAGUCAUAGGUGCUACAGUCAUUCGACAAUGAUGACCUAUUCCAAAUAAUAAACCCCCUGUAAGAGUUUUUGAAGACUUUCGAAAAACAAGAGAGCGUCCUGUAUUGAAGUUGUCCUCGAGCCCUCUGGUUAAAAAAAGGCUGAGAUGCUAACAUCAUUGAGCUAAUGAUAACAUAUUAACAGGAGAUGGGAUGAAUACAUGCGGCUGCAAAUAUUAUUGUGUUGAGUAACACAAUGAUUGUGAGUUGGAGUUUGCAGAAAGGCUUUUUCGUUUGGUGGCUGUAAAUGCAAAUACACAUGAUACCUUUAACCGUUGACUGAUGGAAAUAUGUGUGAAUUAGGUACUUUGCAAAAUAUCCUGAUCCACACACAUCCUCAGUAAUAACAAGAUGUAACCACUUUCAAGUUAUUGACCCUCUGCUAUGCGAUAUGCCAAUAUCUAAAUGUAAUGUAUUGCAAGUUUAAAACACGAGAGGGUCAAACAUCACAAGUCGGCCUGUAUGUGGCCAAUACAGGAAAAACUAUAUCUGACUUACUUUAAGCUAAGGUUAAAAAAUGUUGACCCUUUGAAAUGCUCAACAGAUUGUCCUCAGAUCACCUGGUUUACGUAUUAAUCAUCAUUAUAAUCCAUCAGUGCUCUUAAGAGUCCGAUUUUCUUUUUCAUUAUCAUCUCGUUGUUGCAGGGAUGAUUCUCGGAUUGAGGCAGCCUUCAUUAAUAAGAACUGGGAUCAUCUCCAUCAAAGUCCUUUUUCUUUGCUUGUUUUCCCAACCAAAAAUGGGUUUGCUUUCCCAAUCAUUUGGUGUGGUUUCUCCGUGGUUGGCGUCCAACAACGUUUCGACCAAACGUGUCAACGCAAGCAGGGGCCAGUUGAAGUUGAUUACCUAUUAUUGGCGUAUACUUGAUUCUUUUGAACUGUCGUACUCCAUCCAAUGGUAACAAAAGGUUCAGACAGUCAUUAGUAGUGUUACUAGAAGACGAAAACCCACAGAACGAACAAGAAACAAGAGAAUAAAUAUGAGGACAAGUUUACUCCUCCUCUCAGAAGUCGG
ensembl:lncRNA